rnacentral:rRNA from 1 species
AACGAACGCUGGCGGCAUGCCUAACACAUGCAAGUCGAACGAGACCUUCGGGUCUAGUGGCGCACGGGUGCGUAACGCGUGGGAAUCUGCCCUCGGGUGCGGAAUAACAGUUAGAAAUGACUGCUAAUACCGCAUAAUGACUCCGGUCCAAAGAUUUAUCGCCCAAGGAUGAGCCCGCGUCGGAUUAGCUAGUUGGUGAGGUAAAAGCUCACCAAGGCGACGAUCCGUAGCUGGUCUGAGAGGAUGAUCAGCCACACUGGGACUGAGACACGGCCCAGACUCCUACGGGAGGCAGCAGUGGGGGAUAUUGGACAAUGGGCGAAAGCCUGAUCCAGCAAUGCCGCGUGAGUGAUGAAGGCCUUAGGGUUGUAAAGCUCUUUUACCCGGGAUGAUAAUGACAGUACCGGGAGAAUAAGCCCCGGCUAACUCCGUGCCAGCCGCCGCCGUAAUAC